AGCGCUGUCGCUGCCCGGGGCUCUCUGCGCUGAGCGCCGGAGGGACAGCACGCCGCUCCGGGAGUCCCCAGGCGCGGGAGGUCCCAGCAGAUUUUGCAUAAAGGGAGGAAUCCUCAGGGAGGAAUCGAGUCCAGGGCACAAACAAGAUACUGGAGGAGGUGGCACGGAGAGGAUUGAUUCGGUUUGCAAGCCUACGAGGUCGUGGCCUCUCGGGGCGGGAAAGCAGGCUCCUGUCUCUCCAGGAUCCAGCCUCUCGAUCACCACGCUAGUCCUCGCCCUGCCUGGGCCUCCCUAGAGACGGGAGCUUGGGUGGAGGACCCUGGAUCCGAAGCCAAGGCUGAACUGGCGGGCCAAGCCCAGGGAGCAACCAAGUCCCCAAGUCUUUCCCUACCUUUCCCGCAGGCUGAGCGGAAAACCAGGAAGUGGAUGGUCUCCAUCUCCGCAGCCACGCCCGCCCGUUUGCGCUUACUGAACUGAGGUCCUCAGGAACGUGAAAAUGAAAGGAGGAUUACUAACUUUAUGCCAUCUUCAAACCAGAAGAUCUUAGAUUGGUAAGAUCAUGUUGGCCAUGGCAUGGAGAAUGGGCUGGAGAUGGAGAGACUGGAGGUUGGAAGUCCAGUUAGGAGAUUGCUCCUGCGCUGGGGAGUUGGUGUUAGGACAGAAGAUCCAAGACGCAUUUCAGAGGUCCCCUGCAGAUAUCUGGAUGAAACUCUUGACUGCUGGAAACUUUCAAGAAGGCCUGAGGCGGUCAGAAGCCAAGUUGUGGUUCCAAAAUUUCCGGCCUAUUCACCAAGCCUCCCUGAUGAUGAGAUCUCAAGAUAGAACAAAAACAAGACAACUGGGUGCAAAACGCAGGGUGGAACUGUUGAUAUCCCAGUGUUUCCUGCGAAGUCCUGGCUAA
rnacentral:lncRNA from 1 species